GUAAUUUUACCUUCCUUCUAAGUCCCUCCUGUGGGUUCCUCUCCACAUGCCUCACUUGGCCCCUCUGGCCAACUUCAGGGGCCCAGAGUUUGUAGAACACGACAAAUGCUCCCUCUAUCAAGUGGGGUGCAGGAACCUGCCUGCCAAAUCAGGAGCCAGACCUCUGACCUGGGUCUUCAGGAAAGGCAACUGCCAAGUCUUCUACUCAACUUCCAGCUCAUGCUGGGGCUUCCAGAAUGACCUUUGCUCCCUCCCACUCUCGCAGUGGCUCAAUCUCCAAACCUGGAAGCUCUCUACUCCAUGACUUUCCCUGCCUCCCCCAGGAUUCAUUCUCUAACAGCCGAGCCUCUGGCACUAGUGUGCCCUGUGCCCCUGUCCAUGGCAAUGCUCUUCUUACUGGCUCCACCCUGUGUCCCAGCCCCCCGAGCCUCUGGGGAGGCCUUUGCACCCUUGUUCACAUCAUGCCCACAUCACCCCUAUUUGUAAGGAACUGAUGGGGUAAAAGGAGGCAUAAAGGCAGGUCGUCAUGCAGAAAGAAUUCACAGGCUCAGGCCGCCGCAGAUUCAAGGGACAAAACGAUUUAUUAUGAUGCCAUAAAACAGGCACAGUUCCCUAGUGGGAUUCACAUUUAAUAAGGAGGAAGUUGGGACCUUUUGUGAGAAAAGACUCAGUGCUUGGGUACCCUGAAGAUUGGGGGUGCUGGGCAAUGAUUUUUGGUAGCUUCUCUGAAAGAAGUCAGGUUCAAACCAUCUCAAAUCAAGCAAAGACACUGAUUUGGACAUUUAGUUAAGUAAAGGGUAAUACACACUGUGAACCUCCUCUUUAAGGGGGGGGGCAACCCAGCAGAGUGAUGUGGGGGUUUAUUCAGAGAAGGAAAAGGAAGCAAAACAUAGGAGAAUUUGGCAGCAAGUUGGAUGAUCUCAUAGAUUUUGCACUUCCUUUACAAUGCGAGGUCGGGUCUGCAUGAGAAAGGUCCCUGUGAACAAGGUAAAAACCGUUUUGUUCUGGAGCGGGGCAGCACCCUAUACGUAGAAAAAGCAAAGGGUCCUUUUAUUCCCAUGGAGUCUCUGAGAGAAACUGGUAGAAUUACUGGGGCUGCAGCAUCAGCUAAGACUCCAUGAUUCCCCUCAAAGACCUGUGACCCAAAUUCAUUUGGGGCUGGGAAUGAAUGUCUCCUUUUCCAUAACCAUUUCCAGCUGAUAAGGGGCAGAGAACUGCUUCUGCUUAAGUCAUGAGUGAGUGGGGCUGGAUGGGAAUUGCAGCCCAGCAGCAUCCACAGGUGGGAGGAGCAGCAUCCACAGGUGGGAGGAGCAGCAUCCACAGGUGGGAGGAGCAGCAUCCACAGGUGGAGGAGCAGCAUCCACAGGUGGGAGGAGCAGCAUGCACAGGUGGGAUGACACUUCCAGAGGCUGAGGUGCUGACAGAUAUCUGUCCUGUAGGGCCCUCUGAAAUCUGAUUAAGACUUGUCUGGAAGACACAAAUCUUAUUAAAAUGCAUGGACUAAAUCAAAAACAAAAUAAUAAUUAGGAAAGUGUGACUAGAGAGGGCAGUAGAUGUCCCUAAACCCUGCUGAUGAAGGUCAAGUAUCCAACUGACCUUCUUGAGG
ensembl:lncRNA